UUUUAAACUUAGAGGAAGUGCGAAAGGAUGGUGUGAUUCGUAAUAUCCAAACCUCGCCAAAACCACAAAAAGUGUCCACCCGUAAACCUGUCUUCUCCUCACUAGCAUAAUACAUGUAGUACAUCGUAAGCAACGUGCGGAACCAGAAUAAAGCGUAAAACGUCAGCGUGCCUGUUUGGGAUUACACGCGGGACGGGUUUGGCUUGCGAGUGCGCGUGCGCCUUCGCCCGUGAAGAUGUGCGCGAGAGACGGCGACCUCCUCGCGCUUGCGCCCGUUCUAUUUGUGUUCGCCUUCGUCACUCGGAACGCCUUCAGUCAGUCGCAAAGCUGAGCCGGCCGCCCGGCGCGUCUCUGGCGCGCUGAAAUAGUAGUCCACCGCGUCGGGCUGUGGGCGGCCUGUCCCCGGAGCCAUGGCUGCCCAGCCGCCGCGUCCACCCCCCAAUAACCUCCUGUUCUGCGGACCCCCACCCGCCCUUCCGCACGUGUUAUUACUACCUAGUGAUGCUGCAUGUGACAACGGUGACCCCACAGUUGCAUCCAGCACGACCAGCCAAACAUACGAUGCGGAUGCCUUACACGAAAUAAACAACGUGGGUGUGCCAACUUACGAAGGAUUGUACGAUGAUGAAGUAGAACUUAUCGAAGGCGGCCCAAAAAUUGAUUAUCAGUUGCCACCAGAAAGCUAUUUACGAAGAACUCAUAGUUUUGACGUAUCGGAUAUUUACGCUGCAAAUAUCGCUCACGAAAUAGACUCACGUGUCUUCCGACAUAGACGAUCUGAACCUGAUUUAUCUAAGUACAGAUUAUUUGCUGAAGUGACAGUGGAAUGCACGCCUAUACAGCCUCCCCCGCUUGUGCUCAACAACCCAUUCUACGACGGUUCGUAUGCACUAGAUUCAAGGCAAUUAAACCCAAAUGUGGUGAUGCUGCCAGAAAACUACCUAGCUUUUGAAGAUUCGUUCGUUCCUUCGUGGGAUUACAAACCGGAAUAUAUAAACCCUGAACUGUAUUAUGAUGGAUUGCCUUUAAUUCCUUCAAACGACCCCUGGUCCGUUUAUUGUAAUGAAAAUGCUGCUUUCGAAUAUUAUUCUCCUAAUUUUGAAGCACCGUUACAGGAAGAUGGUGUUCAUUAUACACCCCUAACGGAUUUAGAUUAUGCUAUACCACAGUAUAUGAGUUUACCAGUGGUCGAACAAGCUAAACUGGAGAAUUAUGUUAACAACAGCAGUUUUAAAUCAGAGGAAAACAAUCCGGAUAGUGCAAAUGAACCAGGUGACAAAAAUAACAACGAAACCAAUACACAAAAAACUGAUGUUCCAAUGUCAACUGUUACAGUGAACGAUGUGGUUAGUGAAGAUGCAAAAGUUAGUGCCAUUGACUCUUCUGGUAAUAGAAAAUCGUCUACUCAAAGUGAGGAAUCGUUGAAUGCUGAUAUUUCUAUCGAUGUGACAUCUAGUUUAGCUUUUGUUCCAAGUAGUAAAAGUUCACAGAGACCUGAUGAUACAGACGAUACAAGUGACGACACGUCUCCGUGUUCUACAGAUUAUCACGAGGCGUCCGCGCUAGAUUUAGUUCAAAGUCUCGAGGAGCUUUCUUGUUGUGAUAGUACUGAUUUCUCCCAAAGUAGAGAUGACGUUUCGCCGACUAUUCCAGAGUUACCCAAACCAAGUAAUGCUGUGGCAAUAAUAGAAAAUGAAAAUAUGCACAAUGCUGCAGUUAUAUCUACAACUACUGCUUCAAAUCUACCUCUAAACCAAUUGCCAUCCAUUCCAUUUCACGAACAACUACCAACGCAAGUACCUCCUAUUCAAAACAGUAAAGCACAAAAAGAACAACCAAAAACAAAUGUAAGAUUAGAACAAAUCCCACAAACGUUAGAACUUGAUAAAAAAAUUAUACCUGUCCCUGAAGUAGAAGCAAAUAAACCAAAAGAAACGUCACAUAACAAAACGAAUCAGCAAUUGCCAGAACCACAACUCCAUAACCAUAGUUCUAAGGUUAAUGAUCAAACUUUGAAAAUAACACAACAGCCGCCUCUGGUUCCACCUGCGGUGCCCACGUCAUGGCUGGCUCCAAGACCACCAGCUUGUGUUACUCAAACAAAUGUAGCGCAUCCGCCGCAGAUACGUGUUCAGAAUGUCGAAGGCAUUGUGUCAGAUUUGCAGAAGAGCCCUAAGGUUGCCUCCCAGCCACCUGUGAAAACUCAGCAGCUCGUACUAGAGCCUCAGCCUUCGUGCUCCUUCACGCCACAGCAACCAACACACAGCGCACCGCUCAAACCAGAAAAGCAACCUAAAGAAGUAGAGAGCUCCCGGGCACGCUCCUCCGUCAAGGACGACAAGGACGGACAUCUGGUCUACUGGCCCGGAUAUGUCAUGGGAGCGAGAUACAAAAUCAUCGACACGCUCGGUGAGGGCACCUUCGGCAAGGUGGUUGAGGUGAAGGACUUGGAAUUAGAGCACCGAAUGGCUCUGAAGAUAAUCAAGAACGUUGAGAAGUACAGAGAGGCUGCAAAACUCGAGAUAAAUGUCUUAGAAAAGUUAGCUGAAGUCGACCCUGAUUGUAAAAACUUAUGUGUUAAGAUGUUGGACUGGUUCGAAUACCACGGACACAUGUGCAUCGCAUUUGAAAUGCUCGGACAAAGUGUAUUUGACUUCCUGAAAGACAACAACUACCAGCCGUACCCGCUGGAGCAGGUGCGGCACAUCGCCUACCAGCUCAUAUACAGCGUGCUGUUCCUGCACGACAACAAGCUCACACACACAGAUCUCAAGCCUGAGAACAUCCUCUUUGUCGACAGCGACUACGAAGUUGUCAGCGUCUACAACGCCUCCAAAAAGAAGCAUGACCUGAUGCGGGUGAAGCGCAGCGACGUGAGACUGAUCGACUUCGGCAGCGCCACGUUCGACCACGAGCACCACAGCACCAUCGUCUCCACCAGGCACUACAGAGCGCCAGAAGUUAUAUUAGAAUUGGGUUGGACCCAGCCUUGUGAUGUAUGGUCCAUCGGCUGCAUCAUGUUCGAGCUGUACCUCGGCAUCACACUCUUCCAGACACAUGACAACAGAGAACACCUCGCCAUGAUGGAGCGGAUCUUAGGACCCAUACCUUACAGAAUGGCACGCAAGACAAAAACAAAAUACUUUUACCACGGCAAAUUAGACUGGGACGAGAAAUCGUCAGCUGGCAGAUACGUCAGAGAAAACUGCAAACCACUAAUGAGGUACCUGCAGAGCAACAGCGAGGAGGCGCGGCAGCUGUUCGAGCUGAUCGCGCGCAUGCUGGAGUACGAGCCCUCGCAGCGCAUCACGCUGCGCGAGGCCCUCAGCCAUCCCUUCUUCAACAAGUUGCCGCACCACCAGAGGCUCGGACACCAGUUUACAAGGCCAUCAUUCCUUAGGUCAGGCCUUUUUGUCGUUAGACGCUUAUUCUAAAGCUUAUUUUUCUAUAUGAUAAUGUUAUAUUUUUGGAACACAUGUUGCGACAUGAAGUUUUUAAUUGAGUUUUUUAUUGUGUUGUUAGUGUGCCGUUGAUUUCUUGCGCUUUCUAUAUUCUUAUUAUUUUUCUCGUCUGUAACUUAUUAUAUGCUAUUGUUUUUACUUUAUUUGGUAAUGGUGUUAGAUGAAUCUGAUGCUGCUAACUGUAAUCAGAUGUGACAAGCUAUAAUUAUUAAGCAUAUUUCUAUACUAAAAAUUAGUAUUGUCUCAAUGCUGAAGCUUGCACUAAAUCUGAUUGAUUAGCUCGAUUGACUGACACCAAAAAAAAACAAUGUAACCUUUUAGCUUUUUAUAACUAGAACUUAAUCACCAGAGUCGUAACAAAUUCUUGAGGGAUAUUCUCAAGGGUUUGUUUGUUCUUAUCAGAGAUCAAUUUUGAAUUUAUUAUAAUUUUCUAGACAUAUGUAUGUGUUAUGAUACAACUUCAGACGUCAUAAAUAAUAAUGUUUUCAUAACAUUCUGACAGUUGACUGACGCUUAACACAGUUCAAAAGAGCAGACUAGUCGUGGAUUUUAAUAACCGACCUAUUAGUUGUUUUGCGAUUAGAGAUUGGAUUUUGACAUAAGCUUCAUAUAAAUAUGUCACAACCAAUUCUAAUCUUUGUCAAUUCAAUUUCUAAUCAAUAAAUUGUCUAAACGGAUAGAUCGUUUAUGUGAAUCCACAUUCAGUUUAGUUAGAUUGUAUAUUCAUGUUUUAGUAUCAAUUUAUAAGACUAUUUCAGGCGACAGUUUUCUGUUUCUUUUACUGUAAAAAUAUAUUUAAAGUUCCCAUCAGGACCGAUGAUAAGCCGUCAUAAAUUGGAACUAAAUAAGUUUGUGCAUAUUACAGGCAAUGACCGCUUACGGUGCAACGGUGAAAGCUCGACGUCUCGCGAGCGGUCGCACUCGCUCAGCAGGUGAGCGGCCGGACGCGCCGCCUGAGCGGACCCGGACGCGGCCCGGCUACCCGGACACGCCCGUCCGGGGCCGGACGCGGCGCCCGGCAGCCGGACACUGCGCCCGGCGCCGGACACGGCCGGCCCGACCCGGACCGGCCCGGACGGCCCGCCGGCGCGGCCCGCACCCACGCGAUAGUCAAAUGGCGCGGCUGCGUCGCCCGCCGACUGUGUAAACUUGUACAGUUGUAAUGAAGUGAUAAGUGAUAAUUAUUUGUCGAACAUUGUAAUCUAGGUAAUAUUUUGUUGUGAAUCGGUACUUCUCAAUUUGUAUUUAUAAAGUAACUAUUAUUCGAAAUAAAGACUGUCAGUCUGGA
rnacentral:misc_RNA from 1 species